GACGUAGGGCGCAAGCGUUUGUCCGGAUUUAUUGGGCGUAAAGAGCUCGUAGGCGGCCUGUCGCGUCGACCGUGAAAACCCGCAGCUCAACUGCGGGCUUGCGGUCGAUACGGGCAGGCUGGAGUUCGGUAGGGGAGACUGGAAUUCCUGGUGUAGCGGUGAAAUGCGCAGAUAUCAGGAGGAACACCGGUGGCGAAGGCGGGUCUCUGGGGCCGAUACUGACGCUGAGGAGCGAAAGCGUGGGGGAGCGAACAGG
rnacentral:rRNA from 1 species